UACGUAGGGUGCGAGCGUUAAUCGGAAUUACUGGGCGUAAAGCGUGCGCAGGCGGUUUUGUAAGACAGAUGUGAAAUCCCCGGGCUUAACCUGGGAAAUGCGCUUGAAACUACGAGACUCGAGUGUGGCAGAGGAAGGUGGAAUUCCACGUGUAGCGGUGAAAUGCGUAGAGAUGUGGAGGAACACCGAUGGCGAAGGCAGCCUUCUGGGCCAACACUGACGCUCAUGCACGAAAGCGUGGGGAGCAAACAGG
rnacentral:rRNA from 1 species